rnacentral:rRNA from 1 species
GGAAUUUUGGACAAUGGGCGCAAGCCUGAUCCAGCAAUGCCGCGUGAGUGAAGAAGGCCUUCGGGUUGUAAAGCUCUUUUGUCAGGGAAGAAACGGGUCUUUCUAAUACAGAGGCCUAAUGACGGUACCUGAAGAAUAAGCACCGGCUAACUACGUGCCAGCAGCCGCGGUAAUACGUAGGGUGCAAGCGUUAAUCGGAAUUACUGGGCGUAAAGCGUGCGCAGGCGGUUUUGUAAGUCUGUUGUGAAAUCCCCGGGCUCAACCUGGGAAUGGCAAUGGAGACUGCAAGGCUAGAGUUUGGCAGAGGGGGGUAGAAUUCCACGUGUAGCAGUGAAAUGCGUAGAUAUGUGGAGGAACACCGAUGGCGAAGGCAGCCCCCUGGGUCAAAACUGACGCUCAUGCACGAAAGCGUGGGGAGCAAACAGGAUUAGAUACCCCUG